GCCACUACUGGCAUGAGGGGUCCCUCAGGGCCCCCAGGCCUCCUCUACGUCCCACACCUCCUCCUCUGCCUGCUCUGCCUCCUCCCACCGCCGCUCCAAUAGCAGCCGGGCAGAGCCAGAUGCCCAAAGACCAGCCCCUGUGGGCACUUCUGGAGCAGUACUGCCACACCAUCAUGACCCUCACCAACCUCUCAUCACGCCGGGCGCGCACUCCCACUCCCUCUCCGCACGCGGCUGCGGGACGCGAUGGACGCGGCACUGCUCCACAGCCUGCUGGAGGCCAACUGCAGCCUGGCGCUGGCUGAA
rnacentral:lncRNA from 1 species